UACGUAGGGGGCAAGCGUUGUCCGGAAUCAUUGGGCGUAAAGAGCGUGUAGGUGGGCAGGUAAGUCCGUGGUGAAAUCUCUGAGCUUAACUCAGAAACUGCCGUGGAUACUAUCUGUCUUGAAUAUUGUGGAGGUAAGCGGAAUAUGUCAUGUAGCGGUGAAAUGCUUAGAUAUGACAUAGAACACCAAUUGCGAAGGCAGCUUACUACACAGUAAUUGACGCUGAGGCACGAAAGCGUGGGGAUCAAACAGG
rnacentral:rRNA from 1 species